UUUACUUUGAGAUUCAUUUUCGAAUUUCGAAUCGCGGAAUGCUCUUGGAUUGUCGAAAUUCGAAAAAAUGAAGGAGUAACAGCGUUUUCGACCCUAAAUAUUUACACCCAAAUAAAAACGAUUUUAGCGAUUUUGAGGUUGUUUUUGAUGAAAACACUAAGGGAUUGCAAUAAAUCACAUUUUCUUGCCAUAAACUUCCCUCGUGUAUGGUAAACUCAACAAUUUUUGGGUCAUCAAAAAUGGAACAUUUUCAUAAGGUUACCCCCUUCCAAAAAAAAUGGCAAAAAAAAUAAAAGUAAAAAUUCAACGAAAUUCUGUUUACUUUAAGAUUCGUUUUCGAAUUUCGAAUCGCGGAAUGCUCCUGGAUUGUCGAAACUCGAAAAAAUGAAGGAGUUACAGCGUUUUCGACCCUAAAUAUUUACACCCAAAUAAAAACGAUUUUAGCGAAGCGAUUUUGAGGUUGUUUUUGAUGAAAACACUAAGGGAUUGCAAUAAAUCACAUUUUCUCGCCAUAAACUUCCCUCCUGUAUGCUAAACUCAAAAAUUUUUGGGUCAUCAAAAAAUUGAAAAUUUUCAUAAGGUUACCCCCUUCUCAAAAAAAAAUGGCAAAAAAAAUAAAAGUAAAAAUUGAACGAAAUUCUGUUUACUUUGAGAUUCGUUUUCGAAUUUCGAAUCACGGAAUGCUCCUGGAUUGUCAAAAUUCGAAAAAAUGAAGGAGUUACAGCGUUUUCGACCCUAAAUAUUUACACCCAAAUAAAAACGAUUUCAGCGAUUUUGAGGUUGUUUUUGAUGAAAACACUAAGGGAUUGCAAUAAAUCACAUUUUCUUGCCAUAAACUUCCCUCGUGUAUGCUAAACUCAAAAAUUUGUGGGUCAUCAAAAAUUGAAAAUUUUCAUAAGGUUACCCCCUUUCAAAAAAUGGCAAAAAAAUAAAACUAAAAAUUUUACGAAAUUCUGUUUACUUUGAGAUUCGCUUUCGAAUUUCGAAUCGAGAAAUGCUUUUAGAUUGUCGAAAUGCGAUAAAAUUAAGGAGUUACAGCGUUUUCGACCUUGAAUAUUUACACCCAAAUAAAAACGAUUUUGAGGUUGUUUUUGAUGAAAGCACUAAGGGAUUGCAAAAAAUCACAUUUUCUCGCCAAAAACUUCCCUCCUGUAUGCUAAACUCAAAAAUUUUUGGGUCAUCAAAAAUUUAAAAUUUUUCAAAAAAAAAACACUAAGUGAUUGCAAUAAAUCAUAUUUUCUCGCCAUAAACUUCCCUUCUGUAUGCUAAACUCAAAAAUAUUUGGGUCAUCAAAAAUUGAAAAUUUUCAUAAGGUUACCCCCUUCUCAAAAAAAUGACAAAAAACAAUAAAAGUAAAAAUUGAACGAAAUUCUGUUUACUUUAAGAUUUGCUUUCGAAUCGCGGAAUGCUUUUGGAUUGUCGAAAUUCGAAAAAAUGAAGGAGUUACAGCUUUUUCGACCCUGAAAAUUACCUUGAAUAUUUUCGCCAAAAAAAACCUAUUUUAGCGACUUUGGACAGAUAGACCUAAAGUGAGACGGUCAUGUCUUAACCAAAUUUGUUUAUUCAAAUUCGCAAUGUUUGAAAACCCUUACUAUAGUAUUUUG
rnacentral:sRNA from 1 species